GGAUGGUAUAAUUGGGUUCCUAAUUAACUUGCCUACGCGUCACACAGAAGAGCCGGAGUUGAGGUUUCUACGAGGUUGGUCUGAUAACAAAGUUCAAAGCUGCCCAUCAGACACGAAGUCAAGACUGUGUUAAAAUAAGACCGAGAACACAUUCUGAAGAUACACGGCAAGUUGUGAGGUUUGGACUUUAAAGGAGGGGGCUGGGCUGUAGGAGUAGGGUGGCCAACAAGGGAAAGGGGUUCCAGGAAGAUUUUGAUGGAAUUUGGCAAGAGAAGCACCAGGCAGGAAGCUCUAGGUUACCAGGGAAAGGAAAGGGAACCUGGGCAGAGGACGUGAUUAUCACCGCCUCAAGUCUUGUGUUUAUGUGUACACUUUGCAAGUGUAAUUCUCGAUCUAAUUCUACGGAUGGGUUUUUUUUUUUUUUUUUUCAAAGUAAUGGACUUGCUCUUGCCUGUUCCCUAGGCCUAUGCUAUGAUGCACCGGAACAAUGUGCCCCUGAGUAACAGUGUGCACCACGGCUGCGCAGCCAGAAACAUCGGUACCCAUAAAACAGAUCUAUAAAAUAGAGGGUUUAUUCUAGCCCGUGUCUAUCUGAGAGAGGCCGCUAUGGUGAAUGCUGGUUCCUUACCUGUGGUCCCACUAGAGAGAAAUAAAC
rnacentral:lncRNA from 1 species